rnacentral:rRNA from 1 species
CUGGCUCAGGAUGAACGCUAGCGGCAGGCUUAACACAUGCAAGUCGAGGGGCAGCGCGAGGUAGCAAUACUUGGCGGCGACCGGCGGAAGGGUGCGUAACGCGUGAGCAACAUGCCCGUAUGAGGGGGAUAGUCAUUGGAAACGAUGCGUAAUACCCGUAACAACAGAGGCGGCAUCGCCUUUGUUUGAAAGAUUUAUCGCAUACGGAUUGGCUCGCGUGGCAUUAGCUAGUUGGCGGGUAACGGCCACCAAGGCGACGAUGUCUAGGGGAACUGAGAGGUUGGUCCCCCACACUGGAACUGAGACACGGUCCAGACUCCUACGGGAGGCAGCAGUGAGGAAUAUUGGUCAAUGGGCGGAAGCCUGAACCAGCCAUGCCGCGUGAAGGAUUAAGGCCCUAUGGGUCGUAAACUUCUUUUGACGGGGAGCAAUAAGGGCGUCGCGCACGUCCGAUGAGAGUACUCGUCGAAUAAGCAUCGGCUAACUCCGUGCCAGCCGCGGC